AUGCAAAAUGAUAGUGAAUUCUGCUCCGUCUGGAUAAUUUUUCAUUGAAACUAGAAAUGCAGGAUCUGCUUGACUUUCGGUUUAAUUUCAUCACUGUGCAUUUGU